rnacentral:lncRNA from 1 species
UUAUUGUCCGAUUUGAAUCAUGAAUAGUUAAUAAAUACAUGACAAGUACUUAUGGCAUUCUUUCCCUAAACUAUAUGGCAUGCUUAUCAUACAUAUGCAUGAACAUACAUUUGCAAUCAAAUAAAUAUCAUCAUGCUAUCAUAAAUAAAUGCAUAAAAUUUAAAUGACACUGACCAACCAAAGUUUCCAUUAUUCCUCUUAGUAAAAUAAUAAAAUUACAAAAGCCACCCCAAAGCAUACUUUGGGUAUCCUAUUUUCCACCAUGGACUUUCGCUGUCGC